rnacentral:rRNA from 1 species
AUUGAACGCUGGCGGCAGGCCUAACACAUGCAAGUCGAGCGGAGCGGCGGACGGGUGAGUAAUGCCUAGGAAUCUGCCUGGUAGUGGGGGAUAACGUCCGGAAACGGGCGCUAAUACCGCAUACUAUCAGAUGAGCCUAGGUCGGAUUAGCUAGUUGGUGGGGUAAAGGCCUACCAAGGCGACGAUCCGUAACUGGUCUGAGAGGAUGAUCAGUCACACUGGAACUGGGACACGGUCCAGAAUCCCACGGGAGGCAACAGGGGGGAAUAUUUGGCAAAGGGCGAAAGCCUGAUCCCGCCCAUGCCCGUGGUGUAAGAAGGGCUUCGGAUUUUAAAGGACUUUAAGUUUGGAGGCGUUACCAACAGAAUAAGCACCGGCUAACUUCGUGCCAGCCGCCGCGGUAAUAC